rnacentral:pre_miRNA from 1 species
AGGAUUAACAGCCCCAGUGGCGGGGCAGCUCUGGAAACCUGGAUUCAGCUCCGGCAGGAACUCCGUCUGCAGGGCCUGGAGGCUCCGGGGCGGG